UNGAGGUGCUGUGAUAAAUCCUGCAGGAC
rnacentral:piRNA from 1 species